AACGCACGAGACCUGCGGACCUGCGGAAGGAUCAUUACCGAGUUAUCCAACUCCCAACCCCUGUGAAUUAUACCUUUAAUUGUUGCUUCGGCGGGACUUCGCGCCCGCCGGGGACCCAAACCUUCUGAAUUUUUUAAUAAGUAUCUUCUGAGUGGUUAAAAAAAUGAAUCAAAACUUUUAACAACGGAUCUCU
rnacentral:misc_RNA from 1 species